rnacentral:lncRNA from 1 species
GCUCCUGGCAGCUUUAGUGGUCCUUGGGGACCUGACACCCUGAUACCCACCCAGCCGUCUCUCACCAGGCAGCCAGAGCUCGCUGGCAAGCACCAGGCAUGAGGUUCCGGGCUGGUUUCCUCCCUCUCUUGCACCCUCUCCUACCUUGGAAAUGAGCCGUCCACGCCCGCGACGCUGCCUGGUCUCUGGCAGCAAUGCCGCCUGACUCACUCCUGCUUGAUCUCUGGGGUAGCCAAAUGCUAGAUCGCUAGAACUUCUCCUUCCCUUUCACAGACACACACACACACACACACACACACACCCCUUCGCUGCCCUCAGAGGAUCAAUCUGGACAGGCGAUCGAAAUACCAGACCCCGCUCACAGUAAAGUAUGAUAUAUGCAGACAGUCUCUCAGCUCCAACUGUGACUUUGCCAGGCUCCUGCCCCUACUUCCCCUAGUCUUCCUUAAGUAUCCUUUGUGUGAGAAAAUGGUGCUGCAGGAUGCUUGUUCACUAGCUGGAGCCAGGGCAGCCAGCGUGAUCACAAGGAAAACACACACAGGAAAAAUCAAACUUCUCUGAGAAAAUGUGAAUGAGUGAAACUUAAAGGGAAGUCUAAGAGAGCAGCGAGCAGAGGACCGAGGAGAACAUUUCAUGCUCUGGGUUUUGCUCCGGAAAGCUAGCAGCCCGAAAGCGGCGCGUUUUCUCUAGCAGCGGGUCCCGCACGCGAGAGUGCUGCCAGCGCGCAUUCUGCCUCCUUCUCUGGGAGGCGAGCAGUAACUUCCUAAGCUUACCUCCAUCUCUCCCCCGCCCUUCUUUCUGGUUCUCCGUCAGCGGGGAGGGGCCGCCCCCGGAUCGACUGGGGAGGUAAGGUGCAGGGAGUGGGGACCAGAGGGGGGUACUCAGCAGUUGGUGCUGCUCCUUCCCUUCCCAGCAGGCGGUCCGGACACUGGUUUACUUCUCUCCCCACGCCUUUCACUGGUUCACCCCCCUUCCUUCCCCUUCUCCCCCUCUGUGAAGUCCCUCCCCCUCGCCAUUGAAAAGGGCUGGCUCGGCACUGGCUCCUUGCAGUCGGCGAACUGUCGGGACGGGAGGAGCCUUAAGCCUGAGCUGCAAGCAGCUGCCCGCGCGGCAAAGCUGAAGGCAAGCCAAACCGAGUGCGCUGAGUGGCAGCGGCGACCCAGGCAGCACCCGCAGCCCGGGCGGCCCGAAAAGCCUCAGAAACUGCCUCAGCGACUCCGGCUGCUCUGCGGACUGCGAGCUGUGGCGGUAGAGCCCGCUACAGCAGUCGCAGUCUCCGUGGAGCGGGCGGAAGCCUUUUUCUCUCCUUUCGUUUACCUCUUCAUUCUACUCACAGAGGCUUCGAUCAGUGGAGCGCGGACUGUGUGCAGGCGGUUUUGA